rnacentral:tRNA from 1 species
GCCUUCGUGGUGUAAUGGUCAAGUACCCUCCACGCGUAACCGAGAGGUCCGCGGUUCGAUUCCUGGCGAAGGCG